GACGAACGCUGGCGGCGUGCUUAACACAUGCAAGUCGAACGGAAAGGCCCCGCUUUUGUGGGGUGCUCGAGUGGCGAACGGGUGAGUAACACGUGAGUAACCUGCCCUUGACUUCGGGAUAACUUCAGGAAACUGGGGCUAAUACCGGAUAGGAGCUCCGGCUGCAUGGUGUGGGUUGGAAAGUUUCGGCGGUGUGGGAUGGACUCGCGGCUUAUCAGCUUGUUGGUGGGGUAGUGGCUUACCAAGGCUUUGACGGGUAGCCGGCCUGAGAGGGUGACCGGCCACAUUGGGACUGAGAUACGGCCCAGACUCCUACGGGAGGCAGCAGUGGGGAAUAUUGCACAAUGGGCGGAAGCCUGAUGCAGCAACGCCGCGUGCGGGAUGACGGCCUUCGGGCUGUAAACCGCUUUCGCCUGUGACGAAGCGUGAGUGACGGUAAUGGGUAAAGAAGCACCGGCUAACUACGUG
rnacentral:rRNA from 1 species